ensembl:lncRNA
ACCUGUGCUCAAGCUUGCUGUGUUGGGUGGUUUGCAGAUUAGUGGAGGACCAUUUCUUCUACUGUUGCCUUUGCUUGCCUGUGUGUCCUUUCUUUUGGUGGCCUGCAGCAGAACCAAGACCAGAGAGGUGGUUUCUUUGGCAUCUCUGCAAUACAUGACUGUGGUGACUUUUAGCGUGUGUCCUCAUCCUGAAUGCAUCGCUUAUGGAAGUGAAUAUAGUCUAUGCUCUUAUCAGUCUGGAUGAAGUUUAACUAUCUGUGGAGAGAGCCCACAAACUGCUCAGAGCCCCUGAAGUCUCAGGGGCUCCUUCCUGAUCACAGCUGUACUCCAAGGGACUGUUUGGUGGAGGAGGUGGUGUCCUUAAAUCGUGGGUUUCUUGGAGCUUUGAAGAUAUGUGGCAAAACCAAGCUGGCCUGUUGCCCUGCUUUGGACACCUCGCUACUCUCUGCCGAGUGAGGCCGGUGCUAUGGGAGGAGGAGGCUGGAGGAGGAAUCAAGGAUCAGCAGGGUGAGGAGACUACUAAUGCUGGCACCAGAGUGGUGGUGUCCCUCUGUGCAUGAACUGAUGCCAAGCACAGCCAGGAAGCCACCAGGAGUGCUCCUUGCAGCCUGCUCCUUGCUGUGCUGGGUGUGCAGACAUUUUGAAAGAGGCAGGUUGGGGCCUGCAUGGAAGCCUCUUCCACCUUUUAUGAUCGGAACAGCUUGUGAGGAGAAGCUGUCAUUUUUUCCCAGGGCGUGUGGAACCAGUUUCACUGGUCCAGCGUGCUGCUGAGCCAAGGCCUAUCAUGAAAAGGGCUGUGACGUACCUGUGUGUGGUGCUCCUGAUUUGCGGGAAGGGCGUGCGCUGCAAGCUUGGAGCCUUUAGGUACUGUUUCAGCCAUCUGCAGAGCCACCUAUUUUUCUCCAAGGGCUGUCCCCAUACAGAAUUAUGGGAUGCCAGCCAUUAACUGAGCACAGUUUAAAGCACUGUUAUGGAGCUGCUACUCAACUAUGACUUCUAGAAGGAAGACUUUUCAUUGCCGUUUUUUCUCAUUUAUUGUCAUAAGUGGGACCUCUAAUGCCUCUGCUUCUCUAACAUGUUUCUCAGGGUGAUAUUGCUGGCUUUCCUGAUUUUUAUCAUGUACUGUGGCAUUUGGUGUUUUUCCUUAAACUGCAAGCUCUUUACAUCUUCUGAAUGUGGGAAUCUUGGAUUGCACAAAAUAUGCUUCUAAUUUUAGUGAUUAAAAAAAAAGAUUGAACUUGCUGGAGAAAAACAAACUUAUAAACAAAUCUGUUUCCACCCUUUCAUUUCCUAAAUAUUUUGUCCAGAAGAGUGACUCUUAAUCAUUUUAAACCCUUGCCAUUGGCAGUGCUGCAGUAGCCACUGCAAACAGCUCUCUUAAGUGGUUAGAUCAAGAGUUAGACAAGCUGGGCUAUCCCCUCCUCACUGUGACACUGUGUGGGCAGCAGCAGCUUCUCUGGGCUCUGCUUCUGAAGGUAUUUCUUUUGUGAUUGUUAUGUGUCUUUGAGGGCACAGAGAAAACCUGAAUCUUUUCUUUUUUUUCUUUAGCAAGAUUCUUGCAAAACUUGCAGUCCUGCAAAUUAAAUUUCAACAUAAAGUUGCCUUUGCAGUUGAGGACUAAAAUAUUUAGGGCUUCUGACUUGCAAGAAUUUUGCUUACAAAUGAUUUUUACUGAGCUAUUCUUCAAAAAUUUUGAAAGCCCAUAACUGCAGUGUAGUCAAGUAAAGCUGGUCUAGAUCACAGGCGUGUCACGAUAAAACAAGGCUGUACAACUUACAGGAAAAGAAGUUUCUUCAUCCUGCUAUGAUCCAUGUCCUCUUUUCCACUCCCUUCUGGUAUUGCUAACAUACCAGGCUUGCCAAGAGGAAUUAAUGGGUAUGGACUCAACCCUGAAACUGAAGGGGUGUCGGGAACCACCUUCCAUUUGAUUUAUAAGUACUGUGGUUUUGGUGCUCCGUUCUGUCAACAUUCUAAUACGAAGAAAUUACUCAGAAUUUUGGGGAUGAUUAAAGAUGU